rnacentral:misc_RNA from 1 species
GAUGAAGAACGUAGCGAAAUGCGAUAAGUAGUGUGAAUUGCAGAAUUCAGUGAAUCAUCGAAUCUUUGAACGCACAUUGCGCCCCUUGGUAUCCCGAGGGGCAUGCCUGUUCGAGCGUCAUUUCACCUCUCAAGCCUGGCUUGGUGUUGGGCGACGUCCUCUUUGGGGACGCGCCUCGAAACGCUCGGCGGCGUGGCACCGGCUUUAAGCGUAGCAGAAUCUUUCGCUUUGGAAGUCGGGGCCCCGUCUGCCGGAAGACCUACUCGCAAGGUUGACCUCGGAUCAGGCAGGGAUACCCGCUGAACUUAAGCAUAUCAAUAAGCGGAGGA